UACGGAGGGGGGCUAGCGUUGUUCGGAAUUACUGGGCGUAAAGCGCGCGUAGGCGGCUUUGUAAGUUAGAGGUGAAAGCCCAGGGCUUAACCCUGGAAUUGCCUUUAAGACUGCAUCGCUAGAAUCGUGGAGAGGUGAGUGGAAUUCCGAGUGUAGAGGUGAAAUUCGUAGAUAUUCGGAAGAACACCAGUGGCGAAGGCGACUCACUGGACACGUAUUGACGCUGAGGUGCGAAAGCGUGGGGAGCAAACAGG
rnacentral:rRNA from 1 species